rnacentral:rRNA from 1 species
UACGUAGGCAGCGAGCGUUGUUCGGAAUUACUGGGCGUAAAGAGUGUGUAGGCGGUGCUCUAAGUUCGGUGUGAAAUCUCCCGGCUUAACUGGGAGGGUGCGCCGGAAACUGGAGUGCUCGAGCGUGGGAGAGGAAAGCGGAAUUCCUGGUGUAGCGGUGAAAUGCGUAGAUAUCAGGAGGAACACCUGCGGUGUAGACGGCUUUCUGGACCAUUGCUGACGCUGAGACACGAAAGCGUGGGCAGCAAACAGG